UACGUAGGGGGCGAGCGUUGUCCGAAGUUACUGGGCGUAAAGCGCGCGUAGGCGGGUUCUUAAGUGAGGGGUGAAAGGUUCGGGCUCAACCCGAACACUGCCUUUCAUACUGGGAACCUUGAGUAUGGGAGAGGCGAGUGGAAUGGUCGGUGUAGCGGUGAAAUGCGUAGAUAUCGAUCGGAACACCCAUGGCGAAGGCAGCUCGCUGGCCUAAAACUGACGCUGAGGCGCGAAAGCGUGGGGAGCGAACAGG
rnacentral:rRNA from 1 species